rnacentral:rRNA from 1 species
GUGUGACUGCGUACCUUUUGUAUAAUGGGUCAGCGACUUAUAUUCUGUAGCAAGGUUAACCGAAUAGGGGAGCCGAAGGGAAACCGAGUCUUAACUGGGCGUUAAGUUGCAGGGUAUAGACCCGAAACCCGGUGAUCUAGCCAUGGGCAGGUUGAAGGUUGGGUAACACUAACUGGAGGACCGAACCGACUAAUGUUGAAAAAUUAGCGGAUGACUUGUGGCUGGGGGUGAAAGGCCAAUCAAACCGGGAGAUAGCUGGUUCUCCCCGAAAGCUAUUUAGGUAGCGCCUCGUGAAUUCAUCUCCGGGGGUAGAGCACUGUUUCGGCAAGGGGGUCAUCCCGACUUACCAACCCGAUGCAAACUGCGAAUACCGGAGAAUGUUAUCACGGGAGACACACGGCGGGUGCUAACGUCCGUCGUGAAGAGGGAAACAACCCAGACCGCCAGCUAAGGUCCCAAAGUCAUGGUUAAGUGGGAAACGAUGUGGGAAGGCCCAGACAGCCAGGAUGUUGGCUUAGAAGCAGCCAUCAUUUAAAGAAAGCGUAAUAGCUCACUGGUCGAGUCGGCCUGCGCGGAAGAUGUAACGGGGCUAAACCAUGCACCGAAGCUGCGGCAGCGACGCUUAUGCGUUGUUGGGUAGGGGAGCGUUCUGUAAGCCUGUGAAGGUGUGCUGUGAGGCAUGCUGGAGGUAUCAGAAGUGCGAAUGCUGACAUAAGUAACGAUAAAGCGGGUGAAAAGCCCGCUCGCCGGAAGACCAAGGGUUCCUGUCCAACGUUAAUCGGGGCAGGGUGAGUCGACCCCUAAGGCGAGGCCGAAAGGCGUAGUCGAUGGGAAACAGGUUAAUAUUCCUGUACUUGGUGUUACUGCGAAGGGGGGACGGAGAAGGCUAUGUUGGCCGGGCGACGGUUGUCCCGGUUUAAGCGUGUAGGCUGGUUUUCCAGGCAAAUCCGGAAAAUCAAGGCUGAGGCGUGAUGACGAGGCACUACGGUGCUGAAGCAACAAAUGCCCUGCUUCCAGGAAAAGCCUCUAAGCAUCAGGUAACAUCAAAUCGUACCCCAAACCGACACAGGUGGUCAGGUAGAGAAUACCAAGGCGCUUGAGAGAACUCGGGUGAAGGAACUAGGCAAAAUGGUGCCGUAACUUCGGGAGAAGGCACGCUGAUAUGUAGGUGAAGUCCCUCGCGGAUGGAGCUGAAAUCAGUCGAAGAUACCAGCUGGCUGCAACUGUUUAUUAAAAACACAGCACUGUGCAAACACGAAAGUGGACGUAUACGGUGUGACGCCUGCCCGGUGCCGGAAGGUUAAUUGAUGGGGUUAGCGCAAGCGAAGCUCUUGAUCGAAGCCCCGGUAAACGGCGGCCGUAACUAUAACGGUCCUAAGGUAGCGAAAUUCCUUGUCGGGUAAGUUCCGACCUGCACGAAUGGCGUAAUGAUGGCCAGGCUGUCUCCACCCGAGACUCAGUGAAAUUGAACUCGCUGUGAAGAUGCAGUGUACCCGCGGCAAGACGGAAAGACCCCGUGAACCUUUACUAUAGCUUGACACUGAACAUUGAGCCUUGAUGUGUAGGAUAGGUGGGAGGCUU